UGAGGAAUAUUGGUCAAUGGUCGAGAGACUGAACCAGCCAAGUCGCGUGAAGGAAGACGGCGCUACGCGUUGUAAACUUCUUUUUCAGGGGAAUAAAAAAGGUUACGAGUAACCUGUUGCAUGUACCCUGCGAAUAAGCAUCGGCUAACUCCGUGCCAGCAGCCGCGGUAAUACGGAGGAUGCGAGCGUUAUCCGGAUUUAUUGGGUUUAAAGGGUGCGUAGGCGGGUUUUCAAGUCAGCGGUGAAAUUUUCCGGCUUAACCGGAGCAGUGCCGUUGAAACUGAGGAUCUUGAGUACAGACGAGGCAGGCGGAAUGUGUAGUGUAGCGGUGAAAUGCAUAGAUAUUACACAGAACACCGAUAGCGAAGGCAGCUUGCUGGUAUGUCACUGACGCUGAGGCACGAAAGUGUGGGGAUCAAACAGGAUUAGAUACCCUGGUAGUCCACACAGUAAACGAUGAUUACUGGUUGUAUGC
rnacentral:rRNA from 1 species